rnacentral:rRNA from 1 species
CGUACACUCCUGCGGGAGGCAGCAGUGGGGAAUAUUGGACAAUGGGCGCAAGCCUGAUCCAGCCAUGCCGCGUGAGUGAUGAAGGCCCUAGGGUUGUAAAGCUCUUUCACCGGUGAAGAUAAUGACGGUAACCGGAGAAGAAGCCCCGGCUAACUUCGUGCCAGCAGCCGCGGUAAUACGAAGGGGGCUAGCGUUGUUCGGAUUUACUGGGCGUAAAGCGCACGUAGGCGGACUAUUAAGUCAGGGGUGAAAUCCCGGGGCUCAACCCCGGAACUGCCUUUGAUACUGGUAGUCUUGAGUUCGAGAGAGGUGAGUGGAAUUCCGAGUGUAGAGGUGAAAUUCGUAGAUAUUCGGAGGAACACCAGUGGCGAAGGCGGCUCACUGGCUCGAUACUGACGCUGAGGUGCGAAAGCGUGGGGAGCAAACAGGAUUAGAAACCCUUGUAGUCC